AGAGUUUGAUCCUGGCUCAGAACGAACGCUGGCGGCAGGCCUAACACAUGCAAGUCGAGCGCCCCGCAAGGGGAGCGGCGGACGGGUGAGUAACGCGUGGGAAUUUUCCUCAAGGUACGGAACAACUCAGGGAAACUUGGGCUAAUACCGUAUGAUGUCUAGCGACCAAAGAUUUAUCGCCUUGGGAUAAGCCCGCGUCAGAUUAGGUAGUUGGUGGGGUAACGGCCUACCAAGCCUGCGAUCUGUAGCUGGUCUGAGAGGACGAUCAGCCACAUUGGGACUGAGACACGGCCCAAACUCCUACGGGAGGCAGCAGUGGGGAAUCUUGCGCAAUGGGCGAAAGCCUGACGCAGCCAUGCCGCGUGAAUGAUGAAGGUCUUAGGAUUGUAAAGUUCUUUCGCCCGUGACGAUGAUGACGGUAACGGGAGAAGAAGCCCCGGCUAACUUCGUGCCAGCAGCCGCGGUAAUACGAAGGGGGCUAGCGUUGUUCGGAAUUACUGGGCGUAAAGCGCGCGUAGGCGGUUUUGCAAGCCAGAGGUGAAAUGCCUGAGCUCAACUUAGGAAUUGCCUUUGGGACUGUGAGGCUUUGAGGACUGGAGAGGUGAGUGGAAUUCCCAGUGUAGAGGUGAAAUUCGUAGAUAUUGGGAAGAACACCGGUGGCGAACGCGGCUCACUGGCCAGUUUCUGACGCUAAAGCGCGAAAGCGUGGGGAUCAAACAGGAUUAGAUACCCUGGUAGUCCACGCUGUAA
rnacentral:rRNA from 1 species